GGAUAGGGCUGGAUAGAGCAGCUGCCUUCUAAGCAGCAGGUCAUUGGUUCGAAUCCAAUCCGGUUCA
rnacentral:tRNA from 1 species